GAUCCCGGUACCGGUCGCGUCGACGGAGAAACGAUCCGCACCUGGGCGGGGGGGCGGUUCUUAAACCGCUCCGGUGGCGCCUGGGAGCCAUCGGGGUUUGCCGGGAGCUCAGGAUUCCAAAGCGGAGCAGCUGGGAGCUCGCUCGGAGCUCGCCGCCGCUUCCCGGGGCUCAGGGUUCCGAUGCAGAGCCGCUGGGAGCUCGCCGCCGCUUCCCGGGGCUCAGGGUUCCGAUGCAGAGCCGCUCGGAGCUCGCCGCCGCUUCCCGGGGGAUCAGGGUUCCGACGCGGGGCCGCUCGGAGCUCGCCGCCGCUUCCCGGGGCUCAGGGUUCCGAUGCGGGGCCGCUCGGAGCUCGCCGCCGCUCUUCCCGGGGGAUCAGGGUUCCGAUGCGGGGCCGCUCGGAGCUCGCCGCCGCUUCCCGGGGCUCAGGGUUCCGACACGGGGCCGCUCGGAGCUCGCCGCCGCUUCCCGGGGGCUCGGUUGGAGCGUUUGGGAGCUCACUGCUCGGUCGGAGCUCCCUCCCGGUGACCGGAGCCCGGUGCAGGUCCCCAGGGCCUCGCCGCUGCAUUUUCAGAGCCCCCCGGAGCUUCCGGGCAGGUAAUUGAAGGCGUUUUACGUUCCGGAGCGGCCGAAAGAGCGGUGGGCGUGGCCGCAGGUAGAGCCGAAAUUAGGAUGAGGUUCCUGGAGCGGUUGCUGCAGCGGGGGGGACCUUCUAUCGCUCUGCCGGUGACGAAGCGGGGAUGGGACCGGUUCAGUCCCGGGGUCCCGGAUGGCCCCCCCAGCCUGGGGCAACUUUAGUUUCUUUCGUUUGAAAUCUUUGUCUAGCACUUACAUCGGGAUCCUCAGCUUGGGGGGAGUCGGAGGAGCUUUUUCCCCCUGGGGGCAAUAGGGUUUUUCUCCCCGAGCCUCCGUGGCUCAUGCGGGUGCCCCCCCACCCAGGUCGGGUGCCUCAUCUUUCCCUUCCCGGGGGGGGGGUUCCAGGGCGCGCAGGGGAGUCAAGACCCAUGCGGUUUGUCACGUUAGUUUUAUUUUCUGUUUGUUUCAGGGUCCGGAGCGGCAGAGCUGCCAGCGGCGGCUCAGGGGAAGGGGACAGCGGCCAGGGCGGGCAGGUCGAGCGGCGCGUCGAGCCCCGGGGGGGCCCGGUGCCGGUCCGGGGGGGCCCGGCGCGCCCCCCGCCGCCCGUACUGGAAGCGCAGCCGCAGCUCCCCGACCCGGGCCCGGGGCAGGAUGUCGGGGAUCCACUCGAUGACAAAGGGGGUCGCCUCCUUCUGGGCUGGCGACGUGGUGCCUGGGGGGGACAAAGUGGCGUUAGAGCCCCCAGCAAGGGCUGGGGGGGGUGUUAUAUUUUUAUUGUGUUUUUCAAGCUUAAGUUUUAGGUGGCUGGGAAAUCAGCGGAUGCAGAAGGAGCCAUAGGGUGAGUAACCAAGAUAUUUUUGUUGGAUUAGGUGGGCUGGGGGUCCCCCAGUCGUGUGGGUGGCACUGCAGGCGCCCCUGGCCAAGGCGGGAGUGUGUAGGUAACAGGUUUUUUGGUCUCAGUGUGUGUUUGUCUGUUUCAGGUGCUCAGAGGAAGGGAUUCAAGUGUCUGCUGUCCCAGUCUUUAGUUUCUCCUCUCCAGCUCAGGACUUGCCACAGUCCAGGAGGCUGCACUGGUUCCUCUAAACUUAGAAUCACCAAAUCACUCUAGAUGUGAAAAAUGAAAAAACAGCUGGGCUGCUGGGAUUAAGACUUAGGCAACUGCUCUUCUCUGCCCUGGCACUUAGGCAGCUGCAGAGUUUCUUUCUUAGGUGCAACAAGGAGAAAACCUGCUACUACGAGCACAGAGAGAGACUUGACAAUCUCUUUGGGCUGAUAGCUUGUUCCCUGGAAGCUGCCGCUCUAAAUGGAGGAGGGAUCUCUUCAAGAACAACCUGCUGGGGCUGCAGGGUCACCCUGGAUGAUCUCUCCUACUUCUGUCUGCCCAGAACCUGGCAGUGACUCUGUCAGCUCUGCAGGUGGAGACUCCAAGCACUGGCACAAAGAGUGCUGCCUGUGUCUGCACCGCACAAUAAAAUAUCUAACACCAGUCAGAGCCUGCUGCUUAUGUCCUUGAGUGCACUUUUGCCUCUCCUUUCUCCCCCUAG